UACGGGGGGGGGGCAAGCUUGUUCGGAAUUACUGGGCGUAAAGGGCUCGUAGGCGGCCAACUAAGUCGGACGUGAAAUCCCUCGGCUCAACCGAGGAACUGCAUCCGAUACUGGCGGGCUUGAAUCCGGGAGAGGGAUGUGGAAUUCCAGGUGUAGCGGUGAAAAUGCGUAGAUAUCUGGAGGAACACCGGUGGCGAAGGCGGCAUCCUGGACCGGUAUUGACGCUGAGGCGCGAAGGCGUGGGGGGAGCGAACGGG
rnacentral:rRNA from 1 species